rnacentral:rRNA from 1 species
GUGAGGAAUAUUGGUCAAUGGACGCAAGUCUGAACCAGCCAUGCCGCGUGCAGGAAGACGGCUCUAUGAGUUGUAAACUGCUUUUGUGCUAGGGUAAACUCAGAUACGUGUAUCUGACUGAGAGUAUAGUCCGAAUAAGGAGCGGCUAACUCCGUGCCAGCAGCCGCGGUAAUACGGAGGCUUAAAGCGUUAUCCGGAUUUAUUGGGUUUAAAGGGUGCGUAGGCGGUUUGAUAAGUUAGAGGUGAAAUACCGGUGCUUAACACCGGAACUGCCUCUAAUACUGUUGAGCUAGAGAGUAGUUGCGGUAGGCGGAAUGUAUGGUGUAGCGGUGAAAUGCUUAGAGAUCAUACAGAACACCGAUUGCGAAGGCAGCUUACCAAACUAUAUCUGACGUUGAGGCACGAAAGCGUGGGGAGCAAACAGG